GCCCUCAUCGUCUAGCCAGGUAAGGACACCGCCCUUUCAAGGCGGCGACAGCGGUUCAAAUCCGCUUAAGGGCGCCA
rnacentral:tRNA from 1 species